GGUGCGCCACAUCCGUGAGAGGCUGCAUAACACGAGGACGAGGUUAGUUGUAGUUGUUGCAGUUAUGUAGAAUUAUAGGGUGUUUCCCUUAAUGCUAACUUACGAAAAGUUCAAAAACAGUGUAUAAAAUGCUAUGAUCUACUCGGCUCUAACAGAGUCAUGAUGGGAAUGGGUUCAUACAUGAGUAAAGAAGUUUGAAUCAAAUACAGCCCUUUAGUUGCCUCUAGUUAUGUUUCAUUUUGUAUUAUUUAAGUAUGCUGAGCGGAAAAGCUUCAAUUUAGAAUUCUUGCAAUGUUCUGUUACACAUGAAGAAAUUCAUUUUGCAAAAUAAGCUGUCAGCGAUGAGUUUAUGAGAUAUUCCCCUACUUUUGAUGUUUGAACCUUAUGGUCCCUUUUUGCUUCAAUUUAUAAUCUCAGACAGGGUUCUUUGUAAAGUGCUAGCGAUUAAUUGAUUAUUGUUAGAUACAUCAUUCCCAAACUGCUGGACUCAUUUAUAAUCAGCCUUCAGAUUGUUCUAGCACUUUGCCCGUUUGGCCAAUAAGCAGAGAGUUAUUUAUUUUUGUCAUUUGUUUCUGAAAAGCACACCCCCCCCUUCAGAUCACAAGCUAUUUGUCUUACAUUAGCUGAAAACGUAUACAGCAUCAAUAUUAAAUUUUAAGAACCUGAAGUUUGGUGAUCUUUGACUGCUCUUUAUUUGGUCGUUUUGGAGGUAAAUACAGUAGGGGAGGCCCCUACUGUGGUAAAUAUAUUAAAUCAGGGCUCUCUAUUUAGUCUUGAUUACUGACGCUUUUCAACAGUCAACAUUUUGUACAAGUUUUCAUUUACCAAAAUGUUGACCCUGAAUAUGUGGUAAACAAAAUGUUGAUCACCUCGUAAUGGUAUAUUGAAAGUUCUCAUUUGCAGAAUCUCUAUAGUGAGCAGAAGCAUACCCGUGGAUCAAUUCCAUAAGCUGAGGAUGCAGCUCCUCAUCCCUUAGAACUUCAAUCCUCCUUGAUAUUGACUGAACUGUGUGUAUUGACACCUUCAAACGAGUAUGCAAGCUUCUCAAUGCUGCACGAGUCUUAUCGACAGAGGAAGGUUCUUCGCCUCUAUCAUCCUGGUUCCUCAAGUGAGUCAACCUCUUUUCAUACUCGAUUCUUAACCGCUCACCCACCUGCAAGUUACAAAAACAAUCAUGUCUUCCACUUUUGUUUGUCUAUCGGUGCAAGCUCCUGAAUCCUGACAAAGAUUAUACCUUUACUUCUUUGUAUAAUUUCUUCUCCCAUGUAUACAAUCUAUCCAAGGUAGACUGAUGACUUCCAGAC
rnacentral:lncRNA from 1 species